GUGGGGAAUAUUGGGCAAUGGGCGCAAGCCUGACCCAGCAACGCCGCGUGAAGGAAGAAGGCUUUCGGGUUGUAAACUUCUUUUACCAGGGACGAAACAAAUGACGGUACCUGGUGAAUAAGCCACGGCUAACUACGUGCCAGCAGCCGCGGUAAUACGUAGGUGGCGAGCGUUAUCCGGAUUUAUUGGGUGUAAAGGGCGUGUAGGCGGGACAGCAAGUCAGAUGUGAAAACCAGAGGCUCAACCUCUGGCCUGCAUUUGAAACUGUUGUUCUUGAGUGUCGGAGAGGUAAUCGGAAUUCCGUGUGUAGCGGUGAAAUGCGUAGAUAUACGGAGGAACACCAGUGGCGAAGGCGGAUUACUGGACGAUAACUGACGCUGAGGCGCGAAAGCGUGGGGAGCAAACAGGAUUAGAAACCCCUGUAGUC
rnacentral:rRNA from 1 species